rnacentral:rRNA from 1 species
GCGGCAUGCUAAUACAUGCAGUCGAGCGAACAGAUAAGGAGCUUGCUCCUUUGACGUUAGCGGCGGACGGGUGAGUAACACGUGGAUAACCUACCUAUAAGACUGGGAUAACUUCGGGAAACCGGAGCUAAUACCGGAUAAGAUUUUGAACCGCAUGGUUCAAUAGUGAAAGACGGCCUUGCUGUCACUUAUAGAUGGAUCCGCGCCGUAUUAGCUAGUUGGUAAGGUAACGGCUUACCAAGGCAACGAUACGUAGCCCGACCUGAGAGGGCGAUCGGCCACACUGGAACUGAGCCAGGAUCAAACUCUAAUACGGGAUGCUGCCUUAGGGAAUCGCUCGCAUUGGGCGAUCGCCUGCCGCAGCCGCGCCGC